rnacentral:pre_miRNA from 1 species
AAAAAACAUCUCACAAUUUCUACUUUAACAAUGGUUCUGACCUUUGAGUACAAUUUGGUAAGUGCUUUUUGUUGGGGUAGUUUUAAGUGA